GAAAAGUGUUGUUUGUUCAUAAACAAGAGGCCCAAGGGCCUUGAAUCGCUCUUCUGAUAAAUUGUACAACCUAUCACUUGUAUUUAAAGCCUCUAACCCUAAGUAUCCUAUUAAAGACCCAAGUUGCAUCACCUGACAAAGUUUGAUGAUUCUUAGCCAAUUAGAACUACUUUUUGGUCUACAUUCUUGGAAAUCACAAAAUGCAUCAAGUGACAAAGUAUGAUUAUUCUAAGCCAAUAAAUACCUAAAAUACUUAAAUAUAGCCAUACAAUGUCGAAAGUAGGUCAUCGUGACCUACAUUUUAGUCAACAUUUUUCAGAGUCCCAAGAUGCAUCUGCUGACUAAGUUUGAUAAUUCUAAGCCAAUAAAUACCUGAGAUAUUCAAAAGUAGGUCACUGUGACCUACUCUUUAGUCAACAUUCUCAGAAAACUCAAGAUGCAUCAACUGACAAAGUAUGAUGAUUCUUAAUCAAUAAGUACCAGGGAUACUUAAAUAUAGCCAUACAAUGUCGAAAGUAGGUCAUUGUGACCUACAUUUUGGUUGACAUUUUUUAGAGUCCCAAGAUGCAUCUGCUGACCAAGUUUGAUAAUUCUAAGCCAAUAAAUACCUGAGAUAUUCAAAAGUAGGUCACCAUGACCUACUCUUAGGUCGACAUUCUCCGAAAACCAAAGAUGCAUCAACUGACAAAGUAUGAUGAUUCUAAAUCGAUAAGUACUAGAGAUACAUAAAUAUAGCCAUAAAAUGUCAAAAAGUAGGUCACCGUGACCUACUUUUUGGUCGACAUUCUCCGAAAACCCAAGAUGCAUCAACUGACAAAGUUUGAUGAUUCUAAGCCGAAAAGUACUGGAGAUACAUAAAUAUAGCCCUAAAAUGUCAAAAGUAGGUCACCGUGACCUACUUUUUGGUCGACAUUCUCCGAAAACCCAAGAUGCAUCAACUCACAAAGUUUGAUGAUUCUAAGCCAAUAAAUACCUAAGAUACUUAAAUAUAGCCAUAAAAUGUCAAAAGUAGGUCACCGUGACCUACAUUUUGGUCGACAUUUUUCAGGGUCCCAAGAUGCAUCUCUUGACCAAGUUUGAUGAUCGUAGGUUUGAAGGUAAUCAAAAUAUGCCUUUUAAACAAUUUGAAAACAAAUGCCUGCAAAAUUCUAAAAGUAGGUCACAGUGACCUACUUUUU